rfam:Plasmodium falciparum RAJ116 apicoplast scaffold supercont1.1202, whole genome shotgun sequence.
GCUAAAGUAGCUUAAUUGGUAAAGCAACUGAUUUGUAAUCAGUAGAUUAUGAGUUCAAAUCUCACCAUUAGCU